GGGAAUUGAAAAUUGCAUUAGAGCAUYGGUGACUUCCCUCUUGUGUCUCCCGUCAUUUCUUCCAGUCGGAAAAUGAAGCACAACAUAAAGAACAGAGCGACACAGCGCCAAAAGAUUUUAUCAGACAAGUCACAACAACCUUAAUAACCCCUUAGCGCUUCCUGGCAGGAAACAGCUCACCUUUCGCAGGAGGAAGCCGCAGCCGUUUACCGAGUAUUCCUGACCCAUAAUCUCUGCAAAUGACAUCACGAUUAGUCGCCAUGGAGACGCCUGGUGCAACAGCAGCACGUCUCAGAGAGAGAGAGAGAGAGAAGAGAGGAGAAAAGGCACCAGAACCUGUUUUCCAUCAGUCCUUGUAUGCUGCACUGUCUCUGUGUCUUUCGGGUCUCCGUCACCUCGAACCAGACCAGUGGAGACCGGUCUGGCACUUAUCAGUGCUGGUGCAUCCUAAGAAUGAAGGAAAACAAAGCUAUGAGACCAGUGUGAGCACCCUGGGCAACGCGAGUGCCGGCUGUUGUGGGUACUCAUUACAAGUUUAAGAUACGAAAUGUCAAUAAUAAGCAUCCAAAGGUCAUCCUGUGCCCCUUUAUCACAGAUGAAAAUGGUAUGUACAUGCCUGACACACCGGUAUAGCUGUAUGCUUGUAUGCUGAGUAAAUAUCCACUCUAAGUUCAUGUUUUUAUUGUUUCUCCCUGUAUUGGAAUUUCUCAGUAGACAAACAGACACAAAGAAAAUCAAAUACUUCUAACGUGGGAAAGGCAUCAAGGCUCAGGGAGAAGUUUCAUUCAUCAAAGCUCAGCAGUCGGCACAUCAGCUGGGUGAAGAGGUGGAAGCCAGUCUGUAAGAACAGGAAAACACACUUCCACUGUCACUCCCGCAACAAAGAACACCCGAAGAACACAAAACCCCGCUUUUCCAGCUCAGAUCAAGUACGGAAAUUUGUGAUGCCAGACAAGGAUGAGUCCUCAGAAAAUUCUGAGUAAAACACAAUAAACUGAAUGGAAAAUGGUUCCCA
rnacentral:lncRNA from 1 species